rnacentral:misc_RNA from 1 species
AGAGAUCCAGCCCAAUCUGCAUCUCUAAAGGUCUUUAUUUGAAGAUGUUCAUAUUUUGAGAAAAGUAGUCAUCUCCUAGUGGCAAAUUUCAGAUAUCUUAGAAUUCAAAAAAUAGAUUGUAAAUGAGAUUCACAAGGAUCAUGCAUGUAUUGACUCAUUAGACUUACUGUAAAGGCUAUAUUUAGUCUAGUGUGUGAAAGAUAGAUCAAUCUGUCAACUAAUCUAUGAUAUCUCCCUAAAUUCACUGACUCCCCAACUCCAGCUUGCAAUCUAUGA